CAUUUCUCGGUGAGGUUUGGUUUCUUUAGAGAGGGGGACCCAGGCCAAACUGGAAACUGAGAACCGGUCCAAUCCUAACGAAGCAGGCAAGUGGGGAAUUUGGAACAUGGGGCCAAUACCUUGAUUCAGGCCAUUCCGCGUGAGUGAAGAAAGGCCUUCGGGCUUGUAAAGCUCUUUCCGCAGGAACGAAAAGGCGGGCUCUAACAUAGCCUGUCAAUGACGGUACUUGAAGAAGAAAGCACCGGCUAACUACGUGCCCAGCAGCCGCGGUAAUACGUAAGGGUGCGAGCGUUAAUCGGAAUUACUGGGCGUAAAGCGUGCGCAGGCGGUUUUGUAAGACAGGUGUGAAAUCCCCGGGCUUAACCCUGGGAACUGCGCUUGUGACUGCAAGACUUGAGUGCGGCAGAGGGGGGUGGAAUUCCACGUGUAGCAGUGAAAUGCGUAGAGAUGUGGAGGAACACCGAUGGCGAAGGCAGCCCCCUGGGUCGACACUGACGCUCAUGCACGAAAGCGUGGGUAGCAAACAGGAUUAGAUACCCUGGUAGUCCACGCCCUAAACGAUGCCAACUAGGUGUUGGGGAAGGAGACUUCCUUAGUACCGUAGCUAACGCGUGAAGUUGGCCGCCUGGGGAGUACGGUCGCAAGAUUAAAACUCAAAGGAAUUGACGGGGACCCGCACAAGCGGUGGAUGAUGUGGAUUAAUUCGAUGCAACGCGAAAAACCUUACCUACCCUUGACAUGCCAGGAAUCCUGCUGAGAGGUGGGAGUGCUCGAAAGAGAGCCUGGACACAGGUGCUGCAUGGCUGUCGUCAGCUCGUGUCGUGAGAUGUUGGGUUAAGUCCCGCAACGAGCGCAACCCUUGUCAUUAGUUGCCAUCAUUUAGUUGGGCACUCUAAUGAGACUGCCGGUGACAAACCGGAGGAAGGUGGGGAUGACGUCAAGUCCUCAUGGCCCUUAUGGGUAGGGCUUCACACGUCAUACAAUGGUCGGUACAGAGGGUUGCCAAGCCGCGAGGUGGAGCCAAUCCCACAAAGCCGAUCGUAGUCCGGAUCGCAGUCUGCAACUCGACUGCGUGAAGUCGGAAUCGCUAGUAAUCGUGGAUCAGCAUGUCACGGUGAAUACGUUCCCGGGUCUUGUACACACCGCCCGUCACACCAUGGGAGUGGGUUCCACCAGAAGUAGGUAGUCUAACCGCAAGGGGGGCGCUUACCACGGUGGGAUUCAUGACUGGGGUGAAGUCGUAACAAGGUAGCCGU
rnacentral:rRNA from 1 species